UUGGUUGAAUGUAUAGCGAAAGCUAGCUGCAUUAGCUUAGCGAAAGCUAAAUUGGUGCAGAAUUGUCUCGUCAAAUAAAGUUCCGGGUGGGUUAUGACGAUGACAUUUCCUAUCCGUGUGUCUUGACCAAAUUACGUGCCAGCAGUCGCGGUAAUACGUAGAAGACUAGUGUUAUUCAUCUUUAAUAGGUUUAAAGGGUACCUAGACGGUAAAUCAAGUCCAAGAAGGAUACUAAUUUGACUAGAGUUAAAUGUAAUGGGGCAUUAAAGUACUGAUGAGUGUAGAGAUGAAAUUCUGUGAUACAAUAUACGGCACUGGCAAAGGCGAAGGCAUCUCCAUAUGUAAUAACUGACGUUGAGGGACGAAGGCUAUGUAUAGCAAAAAGGAUUAGGUACCCAAGUAGUCAUAGCAGAAAAUCAUGAAUGCCAUAGGAUGGAAAAUCUUUAGAGAAACUUUUUUUCUAUAAAUGAUAGUGUAAGCAUUCCACCUCAAGAGUAAUUUGGCAACAUUGGAACUGAAAUCAUUAGACCGUUUCUGAAACAAGUAGUGAAGUAUGUUGUUUAAUUUGAUGAUCCGCAAAAAACCUUACCACAAUUUGAAUAGAAAUUAUUUUUAUACAAGCGCUGCACGGUUGUCUUCGGUUAAUGUCGUGAGAUAUUGGUUAGCUCCAUUAAAUUAACGUAAACCCUUACUUUAUUUUUAUAUAGAGUAGUUCCCCACUAGAUUGGAUUAGAUAAC
rnacentral:rRNA from 1 species